rnacentral:rRNA from 1 species
UGAGGAAUAUUGGUCAAUGGGCGCAAGCCUGAACCAGCCAUCCCGCGUGAAGGAAGAAGGCGCUAUGCGUUGUAAACUUCUUUUCCAGGGGGAGAAUUUUUCCGUCGUGACGGGAAUUGACGGUACUCUGGGAAUAAGCAUCGGCUAACUCCGUGCCAGCAGCCGCGGUAAUACGGAGGAUGCGAGCGUUAUCCGGAUUUAUUGGGUUUAAAGGGUGCGUAGGCGGAUAGAUAAGUCAGUGGUGAAAACCUGCAGCUUAACUGUAGACUUGCCGUUGAUACUGUCAGUCUGGAGUAUGGUCAAGGUAGGCGGAAUGUGUAAUGUAGCGGUGAAAUGCUUAGAUAUUACACAGAACACCGAUUGCGAAGGCAGCUUACUGGGCCAUUACUGACGCUGAUGCACGAAAGCGUGGGGAUCGAACA